rnacentral:rRNA from 1 species
AACGCGAAGAACCUUACCAAGGCUUGACAUGAACCGGUAAUACCUGGAAACAGGUGCCCCGCUUGCGGGGUUUACAGGUGGUGCAUGGUUGGAGCGUGGUGAGAUGUUGGGUUAAGCCGCAACGAGCGCAACCCGUUAUGUUGCCAGCGGUGGCCGGGGACAUAGGAGACUGCCGGGGAACGGAGGAAGGUGGGGAUGACGAAGAAUGCCCCUUAAGCAGGGCUACGCAUGCUACAAUGGCCGGUACAGAGCGGCCAACGCAAGAGUGCGCCAAGCCAAAAGCCGGUAAGUGGAUUGUGGUGCAACGACCACAUGAAGCUGGAAGCUAGUAAGUGGAAGCCAUGCCACGGUGAAUACGUCCGGGUGUACACACCG